CCUACGGGAGGCAGCAGUGAGGAAUAUUGGUCAAUGGCCGGAAGGCUGAACCAGCCAUGCCGCGUGAAGGUCAGUGCCCUAUGGGCGUUAAACUUCUUUUGUGCGGGAGCAAUAAUGGUCACGUGUGGACAGACGAGAGUACCGUACGAAUAAGCAUCGGCUAACCCCGUGCCAGCAGCCGCGGUAAUACGGGGGAUGCAAGCGUUAUCCGGAUUUAUUGGGUUUAAUGGGGGCGUAGGCUGGGAGGUAAGUCAGCGGUGAAAUGCCCCCGCUCAACGGGGUGAAGUGCCAUUGAUACUGCCGUGCUGGAAUGCGGAUGCCGUGGGAGGAAUGUGUGGUGUAGCGGUGAAAUGCAUAGAUAUCACACAGAACACCGAUUGCGAAGGCAUCUCACGAAUCCGCGAUUGACGCUGAUGCACGAAAGCGUGGGUAUCAAACAGGAUUAGAUACCCUGGUAGUC
rnacentral:rRNA from 1 species